GGCACUGAGAAGUUAGCCACCCACACCCACACAACUCAGUCUGACUUUCAGAUCCCCAAACAUGUGUGUGCUCCUAAACAGAACCCUAUAAUGUGACUUCAAUGUAUCUCAACGUCCCUUACGCCCUUCUGUCAUGGGCCAGAAAGUGCUACGUGGCUAGGAAAAGAGAAGACCUCCAACAUCAACUUUCCAGCAGAGGACCAAGCUCUUCCUUCUGAAACAGUUAAAGUGAACAGUGAACUUCCUUCCUAUUUAUUAUUCAUCUAUCCACU
rnacentral:lncRNA from 1 species